CUGGAAUGACGUGCCUCUAACUGGGACUUAGCCUGAUUGAGAAAAAAAGCCCCUCCAUCCAUGAGAAUGAGCUGACUGCUGGAAUGACGUGCCUCUAACUGGAACUUAGCCUGAUUGAGAAAAAAAGCCCCUCCAUCCAUGAGAAUGAGCUGACUGCUGCCAUGACAUGUGCCUCUAACUGGAACUUAGCCUGAUUGAGAAAAAAAGCCCCUCCAUCCAUGAGAAUGAGCUGACUGCUGGAAUGACGUGCCUCUAACUGGAACUUAGCCUGAUUGAGAAAAAAA